UGGGGCCGCAGGGGAGCCGGGGAGCCGAGCCCAGAGGUGGGGAAGGACUGGGAUCCCCGGAGGGGGAAGCUCAGGGCUCCACUACAGGGGAAUCCCUAGUGUUGCUGGGAAAACAAGCAAAGAAGAGACUUCGAGAGAUGUAGAAGUAAAGAAAAUACACAUUUAUAGGAAUUCCUACAAGACCAGAUUAAAUGUCUGUACCACAACAUCACCUUUAACUGCCGAGUGUGUCAAUGUCCUUCUCCUACUGACCU